AGCUCCAAUAGCGUAUAUUAAAGUUGUUGUGGUUAAAAAGCUCGUAGUUGAAUUUCUGAUAGAAGGGAGCGGUUCCGCAUUCUUGCGGAUACUGGCUCGUCUUCCGUCAUCCUUGGGCUUAGUCUCGCUGAUAUUAACUUAUCGGCGUGUACGAUGCCCAUCGUUUACUGUGAGCAAAUUAGAGUGUUCAAAGCAGGCAUUUUGCCAUUGAAUAUAUUAGCAUGGAAUAAUAAGAUAGGAUUUCACGAUUUUAUUUUGUUGGUUUGCGUUGUGAACUAAUGAUUAAGAGGGACAGUUGUGGGUAUUCGUAUUCAGAUGUCAGAGGUGAAAUUCUUAGAUUAUCGGAAGACGAACGACUGCGAAAGCAUUUACCAAGGAUGUUUUCA
rnacentral:rRNA from 1 species